CCGUUCCCAGCCUGGCGGGCUGAGGGCCGGCGCCCCCCUCUGGUAGGGCAGCCUGGGGGCCUCAUUUGCCUGAUGGUGUUUUGACCUGCGUGCGAGGCCUUGCUCUUGCUCGUCCCUGCGUGAGACAAGCGGCUCGCCCUAGGUCCUGGAUUCUGGGGCAAGAAGCCACAAGGAAAGACAGGUCAGGGCCCGUUCAGAGCUAGGCCUGAUGGAAGGGGCUUGGUGAGGGGGGCAAAGACGUUUGGCAGAUUAGCUGGCUUCGGGAGGAACCUCGGGGGACAGCCCCCAGGUUGCAGCCCACUGGGGGGUAGACGGUGCUGUGGAUCCCGAGCUGUCCAGUUCCUAGCUGUGUGAUCCUGGGCAAGUUGCUGUCCUUUCUGAGCACAGGGCUCCACCUGUGAUAGCGGGUGACAGUAGUUAUCUACCCCGUGGGGCUGUUUAGGGCAUGACAUGAGCGCUGGCCUUGCAAUCGGAUGUUGAUAAAUGUUUAUAUGAGCGCAGAGCCUGCCGCAUGGUAGGUGAUCACUAGCUGUGUAGACUCUUAAAAGCUCCCGCUGACCUGGGACCAAUCAGUGGGAAAGUAAGUGGAAUCAUCUUGGCCCCUGCUGCCUGGAGCAGCCUAGAAUCCAACAGAGACUUAUUUGGUGCACCUGGAGAGCUGCAGAAAUGUUCACACCUGCAACAGGUGAAUGGCAGGAUCUCUUCUCCCAUUCCUCCCAAGGGGUGUUGGUCCCAACUGGCCACAUGUGGAAAGCAAGCCUUUAUUACCCUGAUUACUACCGGCUGGUGAAGAAACAAAAGCUAGGCCAGGAAGGCCUUGAGGUGGGAAGGGAAUCGUGCCCUGAUGGUCUGUCUCCAGGAGCAGCCCCUUGCCUCCGGGCUGCUGUAGAGAGCUCACUGCGCGAGACUGUGGCGUGGCAGGUGGAAGGUCGGUGACGAGGGGCAGGAGCAGGUGGGGACAGAGCAGGACCCAGGCCGAUGGCUUCCCCGGGUCCUUUCCAGCCUCCCUCUCAGGAGCCCUUCGGUUUCAUAACCCACAUGAUUCAUCCUUUCUGCUGGCGUGAGUCACCCCAGUGGAGGUGGGAGAACAGGGACCAGCCAAAUUCUUGUUCACAAGUGCUCCUGCCAGGGGCCCCUCUGGAACCUGGGGACUGAAUUCCCACACUUUCUUCCCUUUUCUGCACUAAAUGCAGUUUGUCCUCCCUUUCCCUCCCCUGGCCAAGUGGGCUCAGCCCACGAUGCAGAAUGCAGGCCCUGAGUUUCCCUCCUGCAGAUGGCCUCACCCUGCCCACAUGAGAGACAGAGGCCCUAGCACAGGCUGGGCUGCCCUGCGGGAAAUCGCACUGCCCUGACAGGGCAGAAACAGUACCCAGAACCCACAGCCUGUCUCUUCCCAAUGCCACCCUGGCUGCCCACAGAGGAGGGACACUGGAUUAAAGGCCUCCCUCUGUCACUUACCAGCAAUACACUUGUCACCUUUCUGGCCCCUGUUGGCCAGACUGUCCCUCGACCCUGUCCUGGACCUUGUGUUGUACUCCUUCAAGUACGUGACCCUCUUCAAGCUAAGGCUACAAUGCACAUAGUCUAAGUUAUUAUGAAGCGGCUCAUGUGUCCCCAGAGGAUACUGCCAAAGCAGCAGUGAUUUUGACAGAUAGAGAUAAGGGUUUUUCCAUAAUAAUUUAGUAGAUUAAGGGAUUCAGCCCACUGAACUGAGAGGAGACUAAAAUGCAUCUGAAUUUUUAUUUGGAGGGAUCCGAAUUUAUUUUAUUAAUAGAUCUGCUCAUUUGGGGUAAACUUUACAUUUACUGUGGAUGUGCCCAGACAAUAUCUUGGCUUCAAUUUUGUCGGGAGCCCAGCUUCCCAAAAUGAACAUCUUAAAGCACCUGCUGUGGGUUGCUCAUUGAUUUACAAGGUGACAGGACAGCUUGAUCCCAGAAGGACCAGCCCUUUGCACUGUGACUGGAUCUGCAAUAAGACCUGCCUCGUCUUCCUGUAGGGAGGGGGUUUACCACUCACUCCAGCUCCAGCUCUCCAGAUGGCCCUUGAGGGCCACACAGCUCUGUAGGGACGGGGGUGGGGGGCCUGCUGCUUCCCUAGUCUGAGGUCAGCAGGCCUGCGGAUGGACAGGACAUAGACCACAAAGGUGACUGGAGCCAGGAAAUUUUUCGGUUUUUUUUUUAAAUUUUAUUAUUAUUUUUUAAAAUUAUUUUUUGGUCACACUACACGGCAUGUGGGAUCUUAGUUCCCUGACCAGGGAUAGAACCCACACACCCUGCACUGGAAGCGCGGAAUCUUAACCACUUCGGAAGGAGGCAAUUUCUGGAUCAAAUUCUGUUUCAACACACCCCAAGUGGCUAUGUGAAGUCUUCUGCUAUCAAGUGGUCCGGGCAGCACUGGGCACCCCUUGGCCCCAGCUGUGUAAUCCUGUACUUGCUGUGAAGGGAUCAAUGGUGGGCAUGAGAACACACUGUAAUUCAGUAACAUCUUCCCAGUGAUGCCACCUCCUCUUGUCUGAUUUGGGAAGAUACUAGCAUAAAUAUCACAUCUUUGUAUUAGCGUUUUCUAAAACUUCUGAAGGGAAGUUUUCUAAAGCUUCGGAAGUGUGCUAGGUUCGGUAGGUUUAGGUUGGGGUGGCAUCCCUCAAAGAACGUCUGAUGGGCACCACCUUCAGGAUGUGGGAGAAGAGCACGCACUCAGCAGAGCUUCCCUGCCACUUGUGUGCAACCCCGGGCAAAGCUAUUCCAGUAUCCUCUGCCAAAAUGGCAGUAAUGAUGCUGUGCCAAUGCAGGGGAUCUGUGGAGCCAGUCAAAGCUGACAGGGGCCAAGCCCCUUGCCCAGCCUGGCACCAAGUACACGCUGCGCAAAUGGUGAUACCGGUGACCACUGCUGCCGCUGGGCACCAGGAGCGUCCAGUGGGGUAAGAUGGGCAAGGCUGCACACUCUGUCCUCUGUGGGGUUCACGGGCACAUAAAUGUCCUGUCCUUCCACCAGGCCUAGUUGCACAUUUCCUCACAUCUUAACAUCCCUGAAAUCGGGGAAAAUCUCACAGUCCAGUGUCUUGUGAUCACCACUGGCCUGGACCGAAAUUGACCGAAAUUGACUUCUUCCUGAGAGGAUUUGUGUUUGCUCCCCCCAGUGGUCUGGGACACAGCUCCUGAGACCCCUUGGGGACCACAUGGGUGGUGUGACCCCCAGCUGAGAACCAGCUUAUGGUUCAAAUGAUCAGUACAAGCAUUUCUCCCUGCCUCCACCAUGGCCAGGGGACAGGCCAGGGGGCUCCCUGCUGUCCCUCUCUGGUGGUGGGUUUAUUUCUCAUCUUCUCCUGCACCAACGGUGCAGCCUUUCACUGGCACAUGAAUGGAAGAGUCCCCAUGACACUUCCCAACUUGGACACUUUUGCUUUCUCAGUAAUAUGUCAACUCCUGACGCAUCUUCCACUUAAGGGUGUCUCUUGGAUUUGGUGAAUAUGGCAUUAAUGCCUCCAAGACGUAUUGCAGUAGAGAUGCCUAUUUGACUCUCUCAAAUGGCUCUGAUGUUUCUUUUUGUGGCAUCUAUUAACAUUCUACAGCAGAGGUACAGAAAGUGCCGUGUUUUUAAUGAAAAUCUGUUUUGACUCCUUUGGCAAAGCAAAGGUCUCCCAUCGCCUGGUUAGUGUGAAUUUUCAAAUUCUACCCUUCUCUCAGGAGAACACCUGGAUGGUUUAGACUACACAGCAUUCAGAGGUGUGAUGCCCGAUAGGACGCAUUCUGUAGAGCUGACAGCCCUGACACCAAGCCUGGAUAACACACAUGGUCCCUAGCCUGGGGGACAGGAGAUGCUGACACAGACGCCACAUAGCGAGUGGGCCUGUGAUGAGAGUGGGCCCGCAGAAGAGUAGACCACUGCCUCCUUCCACCCCUUCCACACACACCCCGUCUCCUCACACCACCCUCACCCCCGGUCCCGAGAAAGCAUCCAGGCCCAGGGCUUCUACAAACCAGGGGUCCCCCAAAUGACUCCAAGUCUUUUCACCCCAAAUUCUUCUCGCUCUGGUGGGUCAGGGGUCUUCCCUUUCCGUCUUGCUCCACCUUCCACUCUGUGUUAUUGCCAGUUUAUCUCAUCAUCUCCUCAGUGUGGGCUCUGAUUCAUAUUGGGCUUUACUCCUUUCGAGGUGGGGGGUUGACCAUCUUGGGGGGUGCGUGGAGCAGCUCUCUGCCCACCCCACUCCCACCCACUCUUUGCCUCUCUGGUUAGACUCUCCCUUUAUACCUAGAUCCUCGUUGUCUUAAGAGUCUUGUGAAAACUGCUUCUCCUGCAAAACAAUUAUCCUGAAUCUAGCAAUUAUGUAUCUCAGUGUUCCUUUCAUAAACUCCCAGGCAAAAAUUUAGUGUCAAACAAGGAAUUUAGGAGCAAAACAGCUGAAACUCCCUCAGAAGCUCUUCCCAACUAAGAAUGAAAGCUUUGCCAUUUCUCUGUUUUCCCUUCUUGCCUUGGCUCCCAGGAGGCUCCGCGCCCCAUGUGAUAGAAAACCACAAUGGUUUACUUUCUCCUUGCCGCGGCAGUUAGGAUGCCUCUGGUUACAAGUACUGGAAUAUCCAAGUAAAAGGCACGUGGACAAUAAAGAUGACUCACUAUCCCAUGAACAGGAAUUUGGUGAGAGCUGGAUCCAGGGUUGUUAAUUCAGCAGCUCAGUGACAGCAGGGCUCAAGAUAGCCUUCCUGUCCUUUGCCUGGCCUUCUCCUCACGGACAGAGACAACUGCCCCACACUGGGGCAUCUCAAGAUGGCCUCCAAGGAAGGAAUGGCAGGAGCGACCUUCCCUCUCCUGACUGUCUCAUCUCCUUAGGGGAACACACCCAAUGUCCAGUCCAUUUCACCUCAGGCCCCACUGACCCGAACUGGAUCACAAACCCUCCCCCUCCCAGGUAAUCACUGACAGAGUAAGCGGGGUCACCCACGUUGGUUUGCAUCAGUCUUGGUUUUCCUCCUGGGGAAACAUCACCGCCCCAGACUGAGUAAAAUCAGAGAUCUGCUAGCAAGACGCUGGUCCAGGGAGGCUGCUGGCUGGGCCUACCAUCUCCUCCCCUCCCUUUCUAUUCCAUCACCUUCAUAUAGAUUCAGACUGCAAAUGCAUAUUUAUUGAAAGGAAGAACACAAAGGAGGAGGGAGGGAAGGAAGAGUCCCCCCCCCCCCAUGCCAAGCAGACCCUCAGGAUCGCACUGCAUUUUACCCGAGCCCAGCAGACGGGCAGCGGGAUCUGCAUCUUAUUCCUGGGUGAGGACAUCAUUCCUUUGAUGCCAGGAUGAAUUUUGGCUUCGUUGCCUGAGCACUCUUUCCAAGUGAGAAUAAAUUAGGAACUUGGGCUCCGCCCCCCCCACUCUCUGCAAAUUGAGCGAGGCACAAGCUGGAGAGAAGAGCUCGAAAUCCAGUCCUUUCUAGACAACCAUUGUCUCGGGAACCCGAGUGUAUAAAGAGAUAAUGGGGAACGUGCAUCUCAGGGGCCGGGCUGGGUGCAGCAGAGGAACUGGCUGCUACAGCCGGAGGCAGCAACGUGGUCGGUCACUCCUCUGUCCCCCCGCCCCCUCCAAGCUGCCCCUCCCUGGUUGCCCCUCCCUGGUUCCUCAGGGAACCCUCCCACCCCCACCCCGUGGGCUCCUGCUCUGGCAAUUAAACACACUCAUCUUUUCCUCUCCCAGAUCCUUCUCCUCAUCUGCACGUUUCCCAGCGCCCCGCCCCCCACCCUAAACAGGCUCCCUCACCCCCCACCCCAGGCCCUGGAGAAGGUCACCUGGCUCUUCACCUAAGGGUCACUCUGCGCCUGGCUCUCCGUUGAGUCGGCACCUGCGACCGCAGCCGACGGCGGAUGGAGAACCAGCCACCUGUCUCCCUGACAUGCACCAUCCACACCUCCGCAGUCGUGCAAAUCCCCAUGCUCCUUUCUCCACCUCCCACCCUGUCCCCACCCUCACUCUCCCGAGGCCCCGCGUCUUUCUUCAUCAGGUUCUCAGGGAAAACCGUCCUCUCCCACUGCACCCGUGGGCUCUGUCUCCCAACCCUGCUGCCCGAGGGGGCCCCGCUCCUGCCAAGGAACCCACUCCCUUCCUGGGCGCCCCCCUGCGCCCGCCGCCCCCCCAGCCCCGCCAUGUGGUUCUUCAAGGGUGUCCCUGCACCAGCUGCUGAGUUCUCUCUUUGCUGCUGUGAUUCCAGCAUCUUUAAAACAGCAAUAACAACGAACUCUCCAGCUACCCUCCCAUUUUUCUUCCUCCCUUUAUAGGAAAACAAAACUCUCAAGAAGUUGUCUCCACCCAGUGUCUCAGUUUCUCUCUGGCGCUCUCAAACCCAUGCCAAUCAGAUCACCCCUCACUGCCUGAAGCCACACCCUGCUUGCUGUCACCACUGCCCCGGGUGGCUAGAGGCCAGGGGCCAGUUCUCAGCCCUGGUCCCCCGAGCCCUUCCUGCAGCAUGUGACCACUCAUCCCUGAAGCCUUUCCCACGUGGCCUCCGGGACACCCCUCCCCACCGCGCUGGUCCCCCCAGCACAGAGGCUGCUCCUCAGUCUCCACUGCUGGUUCUUAGCAUCAAGGGCCCCAAGCCCCAGUUCUGGGCUUCCUCCCUCUCCCCCGCCCACCCACCUCUACCGCCCAACCGGAGACAUCAGUCAUUUUCAUCAUUGCGGGUGCCCAUUACCAGCUGAUGGUUCCCAACCUGUGUCACCAGCUUGGACGUCACACCUGAGCUCCAGACACUGAAGACAUCUCCCCUCUGCGUCUAAGGCUCAUCACACAAACUGAGCUCCUGCUCUUCCCAGCCCCCUAACCCACCCCCAGAUUUCCUAUCAUGGUAAAGGGCAGCCCCAAAGCCUGCAGCCCCCUUGACCCCUCCCCGAGUCUAGGCUCUCAGGGAAUCUGGUCAUUUCUACCUUGGAAAUCCAUCCAGAGCCUGAGUACUUCUCACCACUCCCACUGCUACCGCCCUGGGCCAGGCCACGCUCACAUGUCCCCUGGUAUAACUCAGCAGUCUCCUAAAUGCCCUCCCUAUUCUGCCCUUGCCCCUUGAAUCAGCCCUCAACACGGGGGAUCAUGUGAAACAGAGUCACACAGGCCACUCCCCAGCUUAGAGCCCUUCCAGGCUCAAACAGAGCAAAACCAAAGUCCUUGCAGUCCCAGAGGUCCCUUACAACCCACGCCAGCCUCCACACCCACCAUGCACAGCCCGUUGGUCAGAUAUUGGAAGAGUACUGAACUGGAUGGUUUGAGCUUCCCGGAGGAAGUGACUUUUAAGCUGAGCUCAAAGAAAUAAACAGGAAAUACCUAGAUGAGCAGACAUCAGUCAGGUCUAAGUAGGAAAACAGAGACUGCACCAAGUGUUUACAGUGGAGGGAACUGGUGACAUGGAUGAUGGAAGAGCUGAGAUGGGGAAGGGAGGGGCAACCCGACAUUAACACCGACUCCCCCACCCCCCGGUAUCACCCGGCUCCAGGCAAAGCGCCUGGCAGUUGGUCAGCAUGUGCAAAGGCCCUGAGGCAGGAGGAAGGUGGUGUGGUGGGAGAGCUAGAAGAGAAACAAAGGGGCAGGGGCAUUGAUAGUGAAAGGAGGGUGGCCUGAGAAGGGACACGAGGCCAGGCUGGGGCAGCUUCACCAGCCCUGGCAAGAAUUUGGACUUAAUGCCAAGAGAAGUGGAAAGCAGAGGAGAGACGCUCCCGCUGUUGCGACCAGCCAAGCCUCAUGGCUCUCUGCAGCCCUUCCCAUCUUCAGAAGGACACACUUUGGGUCCCACACCUUUAGCUCUUUACUCAACACCCUCACUGUUCUGGUCUCUUAAAAACACCAGCCUGCUCACCUCUGCCCUGCCCAGACCCUGGCCUCAAACGUUCCCUGUGACAUCCAUGGAAGUGUUGUUCCCUCACCUGGCUCCUGCCUGGCUCCCCAUCCUUCCCCACCCCCUGGGCUCCCGUCCCAGCGGAGGCCUCACCUUGCACACACAGACUGUCAGGAUAACUUCCAACCUGGCUCUCUGCUCCAGCUCACUGCCCCUCUAACCCCACCCUCGACCUGAGGCUUGGUUCCCACGUGCUCUUGGGAGCCUACUAAUAAGACCACUGUGAAUGUCUGCAGCCAACAGGGUGGAGACCAAACUCCAUGAGGCAGAGCCCUCAUGGCCUUAGCAAGCUGGCGCUGUCUUUCUUGCUCUUCCUGCCCCAUAGUGGGCCAACCACCUUCCCAGAUGGACCAGCCCUUCAGGCCCAGGCUGCUUGGAUUUCGACACCUCCUCCCUGGGUGUGCCUUUCUCCCCUCCCCGCCCCCACAUGCAAAUUCCUCCUGCCGCAGGCUACCUCCUCUGUGAAGCCUUCCUUCACCAAAAGCACCCCUCCCCUGCCCCAGCCCUCUCCCUCUUGUCGCCAGGCAGAGCUGCUCACCUGGCUGUGCUGCCUUAUGUUCUGGUUCUGGAAUCUCUCACACCCAGCUCGGUGCCGACUGGGGGCUGAGUCUCAGAAGCUGCUUUCCAGCUCUUGGGGCUCCCUGGACCUCCCUUUCCUCCCUGGUAAGAAGAAGCCUCAGACCUGGUGCCUUUUCCCUAUACAAACAAGCUAGAACCUCCUUCUGGGGUUUCCUACAGCAGUCUCUUCCAGAACCUUGGAGGAGGAUAAGCUAGUCUGACGUGGGCAGGUAGGACUGUGAAGGGAAUCCUACAGGUUUAAAUACAAUCCAUUGGAGCCCUGGGUUUUUCCUAUAAAUAUGACUGCUGUCAUCCUAAAUGUCACACCAUCCAGGUUAUCUAGCCCUCAGUAUCAGGUGACAAUGAUUUUGCUAAAAGAAUCAAGACCAGAAGACCUGACUGUAGGUGGCCAAGAGCAGCAGCAGAUCCAGGGCCAAGGGCAGUAGAGCCGGGUCUCAUCGACGCCAAGCAGCCCUAGGACCAGGGCAGGCGUUGGGCUUGCCGAGCCGGGGCUGCAGGAGCGCAGAGGGGCUUUAUGACAAGUCGGUGUAUCACGUGAAACAAGGGGCCUAGAGACAAGAGAAGCCUGGUGACCACAGGCCCCGAGAAGCAAGACGCAAAGGCACCCACGUUCCUUUCCACAUGCUGCUUCAAUUUUCUGCUGACCUGAACAUAGCUUCCUGCAGCAUUGCCCUGGUGCGGGCCCCGGAGUCCGGUCUCAGGCAGGGCGGGGCAGCGGGCAGUGGGGUGGGCUCUGGGUAGUGGGUGGAAUCCAGCCCAGUGCUUGCUGGCUGUGUCACUUUGGACAGGUCACCUCGCCUGCUAGGCCUCAGUUUCCUCCGCCGUAGAUGAGACUUAAAACGGCCCCUCCAUGGAGAGGAGGCAAGGUCAUUCAUGCAGGGCCAGGACCUCAAGGGCAGCCAGCAGUCUGGCAGCAAAGCUCCUGAGACGUGUGUCUCUGGUUUGGCAGAUGCUGGCAGGGGUUGUGGUGACAGCAGAAGCGUGGGGUGGCAGGGCGCUGUGCCGAGUUACAUUUAGAUGUUACUAAAACCUAAAUGGUUACUGUUAUCUUGCUUGGAUCUAUGUGGUGAAUUUAGGGCUUCCAAAAAUCCACUUGAGGCUUUUUAUAUACUCACUAUUUAUAGUCUAAACUCUCCCAAAUCCCCAACCCAGCCAAAAUCAUUCCUGCUGUGUUUUCUCUCCACCCAGACGCACUAGCAGCAGGGAACACAGCAGCGUGAACUGCAGCCCCAGCAAGCCCAGCACUCUUUCUCCUCAGGGAGCGAGACCCAGGAACUCCUCUGCCCUGUGCGAGGCCACUGGCCACCAUGUCCAGUCCCACCAACAACGCCACCAAGCCUGCCGUUCCAUACGGUCAUUUCCAAAAGGUGGAAAAUUUGGUAACCAAACAAUAUUUCUGUGACCCAUACGAUUUUGCGUCUAGCUGUCUUCAUCUGGAUCAGGGCUAAUUCCCUUAUUAUUUUUCUUUCUCCUAAGCCCCUUUUACCCCAAUCCUGUAAGGUGAUCUUUCAUUACAAACCAGCAACAUGGAGCAGCGUGCUCCCCCCAAGCAUGUAGUCAUCAUGGGUCACAGGUCGUCACCCUCGUUCUCUCAGUCCCCACCCUUGGGAACCUUCUCGCUCACAGCCAAAAUGCUGCACCUCUCAGGCCAAACUUCAUGGAGGGCUUGGGGCACAAGCAGUACCACAAGACAGCACAGCAGGAAGUGAGCUCAGGUCCUGUCUCCUGGAACAGGCAGGGGAGGGUCUGGACAGAGCAGAUGCCCAGGCAGGAGAAGGAGAGGCAGUGGAGCACUGUGGUUAGAGCAGAGAUUCUUGAACUGACCAUCUAGGUUCUCAUUCCAGCUCUGCCAUUCCUAGCUGUGUGACCUCAGGCAAGUCAGUUAACCUCUCUGGGCCUAGGUUUUCCCAACUGAGGAUAAAAUGGGCACAAAAUUUGUGUUCACCUCAAAUGAGUCAAGGUAGAUAAAGUGCUCUGACUUGUGCCCUGCGCUUAGACAGCAUCACGUAAGAGGUGUGAUUAUGAGGCCAGACAUCUGACUGCUACCUGUAAACACAUGCUGCAGAAGUUUGUGUGCGGCUGUGUGAGCACAAAUGUGCUCCAGGCCGGCCAGCCCCAUGGCGCCGCUCCACGGAGACAGAUGCUCCACAUCCCAGACACAGAAGGAGCAUGCGGCGCACAGACAGCCCCAGGGCCGUCAGGAGGGAGCGAGGCAAGGAAGGAAGGAGGAAGUGGGGGCCAAGGAAGGCAGGACAAAGCGGGGGCAAGGAAGAGAAACACUCAUGUCCUACUGAGGCCUCUGCCAGGCUUUCACGUACAUCUGUGUCUCAUUUGUUUUUAAAGCUGCCCCGUACAGUGGUUAUGAUUCCUCCCAUUUUACAGAUAAAAGUGAAUGUUGUAGUCAGGGUGGAGGGGUGGUUGUGAAGGCACAAGACAAAGGUGGAGGAGGAAGCCAAGUCACGCCCAGAGGUGCCUGUCCUGUCCCGCAGACAGUGAGCGAGAUCCCUGGAUGACAGGCAAGGCCCGCGAGGCCUGGAGGGCGGGGAAGCAGAACCCUCCCCUGGUCCACCUGGGGGUCGGCAGAAACGGGCGACAGGCCUGGGGAAGUCACUGGCUGAUGGUGACCAUCUCUGCCAUCCCCACCCCAGGGCUGUGCUCCUGGGCACUCAGGGUCCCUCCAGAACUGCCCCCGGGGUCAGCAGGCUACACCGUUGCCCCUAGAGGAGAUAGAGGAGGGAGGAGCCGUAUCUGAAGCAGCCGGCCCAGGGAGGCCAGGAGGGAGGCCAGGGUUUCCAAGCUGGGGAACCCCUGGGUGGGGUGCCCACCAGCCCCGGAGCUGCCUCCACUCUCUGCCUGUGUCACCUCCCUGUCAGAGGAACUCAAGAAAGUGAGUGCCCUGGGUGGGGGCAAAACUGGUCCUUUGGGACACAAAGCCCAAGGAUGCACCCACACCCCAUGGCCUUCCUCCAGAGGCAGCAGCGUGGCCACAUCUGAGGACGGGCACCGCCCACCAGCCCAGGGUGCACAUUUUCACAGAGCAGUUGCAGGACUAGCUGGUAGGCUUGCAGAUGAAUGCUAAAUGCCCAGUUGAAUUUGAAUUUCAGAUAAACAAUGAAAAAACUUUUCAGUAUAAAUAUAUCCCACACAAUAGUUGGGAUACACUUAUACCAAUUAUUUAUCUGAAAUUCCAACUUACCUGGCUGUCCUGUAAUUUUCUUUGCUAAACCUGGAAACUUUAUAUGGGGACCAAAUGCGUCAGCUGGAACUGGGGAGGGCAGGGUAUCACUAAUACUUUACAAAUGAAGUGCCGGGUGAAGAUUUUGGUUUAAGAAUUCAGAACACCUUCUGAUGGGGCCAGGAAUCAAGGCAAUGCAAACCAUUCAAAGUGUCUUGCUUUCAUCUUUUUGAUGCCUCCCUACCGAAGGACAAGGCACUCUGUCUAUCAAGGGUCUAGAAACAUCUUUCUGCCCCCAAUGUCUGUUUAGAAGGCAACACCCUGCCAGUGGUAUUUGGAAAUUGAAUUAUACCUUUUUAAAACGAAAAGAAAAAGUCUUCUCUCCGGGGCAGCAUUCACAUGCCCAUGAGCUAGGCUAUCAAGUAUGAAUAUUCUCUUAAAAAUAAAAUUAUGGUGUACUUAAAAAGGAGCAUGUUAUGUCAGCACUGGUGAUAAGACAAUUUAUUACUGUCUACAAAAAGAAGGCUCUAAUGAUGUGGUGGAAGCUGGCUCAGUGGGCUGUAAAUUAUAAGCCAUUCUCUCGCUGGUGGAAAUAAAUCCUCCUGUCAAGUCACUGCGCUCCCCUUGUCGGCCACGGGCUGCGAAGCCGCAGUAACUACAUGCCUGUCACCUGGGGAGCAGCCCCACUCCACCCCUUGGGGGUCCCCCCACUAGUCCACACAAACCUCCCACAACCUCUAGUCACAUCUUUGGGACACAUGUCCUUUUUGACAUGAAAAAAUAACAACUGUUUAUGGUCUUCUAAUAGGCAAAACAAAAAAGAGAAAGAGAGAGGAAGGGAGGGAGGGAGGGAGGGAAGGAAGGAAGGAAGGAAGGAAGGAAGGAAGGAAGGAAGGUGAAGGGAAGGAAGGAAACAGAAUGCAGAGUUCACUGGGAGAGGAGCAGGAUUCGAGAUCAGAAGGCCUCACUGGACACCCUGCUUUGAGGGAAAUGCCCUUCCCUCCUGAGCCAGGCUUUCCCUGGCUGGAAAAUGAAGGACUUGGGCUGAAGGGGAGACCGACAGGGACUGCUGUUCCCACAGGUGCUGUGCUCCCAUGCGGUGAUGAGCCUCCUGAGCGGGAGGGGUUCAAGAAGAGCUGGGGCAGCACCUGCUGGAGAUGGUGAGGAGGGGCCUCCUUCACCCUUCAGGAAGCUGAGCUCACACUGACUCCCAGGGCCAGCUCCCCAAUUCCAGAACUCAGUGUAGAGAGCCUCAAGUCCCACCCACCCACCUCUGGCAGAGCUGGCACCCGUGAACUUUUCCGUGAACUCUGCUUUGCUGGGGCAGGCGUGGUGAGAGACACAGCACGUGGGGCAGCUCGGACACCAGGCAGGAGGCCGUGGGGACACACACCGCGCUUUGCAAGGAGGAGUCCAGGAGGAAUGUCAACAGCACUGUCUUCUAGUCCAAAAGAGGGGGCAGGGUUAAGGGUUAGCGACUGCAGUUCUACAUUAACCAGCCCUUCUGGGGAUCUAUAGAAUAAUGACAAUGUUUGGACUGUCGGUGUCAAGGCUGUAAGCAGUCCUAGGGUUGUCUGAGCCACGGGUCAAAGAGAAUCUACGAUACAGUAAUUUACUGAACUGUUCUCUAAUUACAUGAAAAUUGUCAUCCACGUCUGCCACACACGGGAACAGGGAGCCAACCAUGUUCUGACUAAUCUACGUGUUGUCAGGUUCAUGGAGAGCUGGCUGUACCUACCAUCGCUGGACCCAAAAUUCUUCCUAUUCUGUAUUAUUUUGUGCUUUUGCCCAGAGAAAAAUGAUGGAUUAAAGCAGAAAAGCAGGUACAGGCUGUCCCCACAUGAGCACGUUAAAAGGCAAAGAGAUAUCGAAAUGUCAAACUUUUGCCACCAGCCCAUCAUUUGAACGCUUUUCCAGCCGAGCGCAUCUGCAGUGACAUCGACCCCUCCCUGUGCUUCACCAGGCAAGGGGGGUGCUCCCGCUGGCCGUCACCAGGGACCUGGACCAAACCCUGAUGUGGGGUGAGCGGUCAUCCCUCGUGCUGGAGGAGCAAUCAGGAUGCACCAUGUCAGUGGGUGUCUGGGAGCCUUUCAGACCAACCAAGCGUUAAUAGCCCAUCUUGGCCCCAGAUCCUCUAACACGGCCCUGACACUGCUCUUCUCAGAGCUUCACACGAAGGUGACGCGGUUUCUCGUUUUAAGUGAGACCGACAUGCACACUACCUCCGUGCAGACAUACAUCACUCAAAGCUUUUCCCACAGAUGCCAAAAGGGUCCGACCCACAGCCCCAAAGGCAAAGAUAACCAAGUGGUCGUUAAAACUGAACAAAUGCAAUCAAGAUAAGAGUCUAAGUGCUAGUGGAAAAGACAGUGGCACUGAAAAUAGCCUGAAGGGGCUGGCAAGAUGGCCUGCAUUUUUGCCCAGGUGAGGAUUUUUUCCAUGUGAAAUAUGUAAGCGAUGUACAGAUUCCACCAACCCUGAACACCAGAUUGGAUCUAAGGGUCAGAGCAUUCACUGAUGCUGAAAUUCAGGGGUCGCCCAGGCUGUCCACGCCAUCCUUAUGCACCUCGGCUCUUGGGGUGGUAGGGGUGAACAUGAGGAGGGAGAUCCCUUGGGGCUGGGCCCACAUGCCUGCCGUUUCCGAGGCCUUCGGACACUGGGCCUGUGACCUGGGCUGUUAGACAUGGUCCACUGGAGGCUUAGCUUGGCAUGUAAGAGGUCAUGCAAUGUAGGAACUACCUCCCACAACGAGACGGGAAGGGAACUGGGAGAACAGGAGGCCGUGGGCACCUGCCAGGUGGCGGGUCAGCUGCCAGCUCACUGGGGUCUGUCUGCUGGAACCCAGAGGUGGCUGUCGGGGUGGGGAGGCGGGUAAACAGGAAGCAAAAAGGGUCUCCAAGUCUUCUGAACUAACCUGGGCUUUCUUACAUGAUUCUCUCAUAAGACCAGCAUGCAAGGGACCCUCUCCGAGCAGAGGCCACUACAGAAAUCUGUCAGAGUGGCGGCGGGUGGAGGGGCUGGGGGAGAGUUCCAGCUGGCAGUUGGCUCUAUCAGUAAAGGUCAUAAUAAUGGACUUUCUUCUAUACUUAGUCUUGUCCUGUUCUUAGGUCUUCUACAUCACAUUCUACCAAAACCACUCGGCCACUUUGAUUCAUAACUCGGACACUUUUCUUAUCAUCCACCUGGCACACGCAUGCGCACACCCAUGCGCGUGUGCACACACACAGCCAUCAAAACAACACCCUGUGUCCACAGUAAGCUUAUCCUUAAUUUUGCAGAGGUCCUAAUGAGGAAGGGACUGUCCCUCCUACUCCCAGCAAGGCCACCAUCCUGAAGCCUGAUGACAAAUGGAUGACAAAUGCUGAAGACCCUCGUGUCCUGAUGGUCUAAGACACUGCUUUUCACUAUCAACUUUUUCACAUCUAGUUCUCAGAACAAGGAUGUAUUUAUUCACAAUG